CUGUCUCUUGUAGUUGACCAAUGAAACUGAUCUUGUAGUCCAAAAGCUACAAUAAAAACACCAGACGAGAAGACCCUGUGGAGCUUCAAACCAAAACCAAAUUAAUGACCCCUUGGUUUUUAGUUGGGGCAACUUCGGAGUAUACACCAACCUCCGACAAAAUAACUAAGACAGACAAGUCUAAACAAUUUAUUCGACCCAAUAGUUUACAAUAAACUACUUGACCAAUGAACCAAGUUACCCCAGGGAUAACAGCGCUAUCCCCUUUUAGAGUCCCUAUCGACAAGGGGGCUUACGACCUCGAUGUUGGAUCAGGACACCA
rnacentral:rRNA from 1 species